rnacentral:rRNA from 1 species
CUUGCUAGGUUGAUUAGUGGCGAACGGGUGAGUAACAUUUAGGAAUCUACCUUUUAGUGGGGGAUAGCUCGGGGAAACUCGAAUUAAUACCGCAUACGACCUACGGGUGAAAGGGGGCGCGAGCUCUUGCUAGGAGAUGAGCCUAAAUCAGAUUAGCUAGUUGGUGGGGUAAAGGCUUACCAAGGCGACGAUCUGUAACUGGUCUGAGAGGAUGAUCAGUCACACCGGAACUGAGACACGGUCCGGACUCCUACGGAAGGCAGCAG